ensembl:lncRNA
CACAAGGGGCGUGGCUGGUGGUACAGGGGACGUCGCUGUGGAUGACGCAGGAGGAAUGCCUGUGGAAAGAAUCUGAAAAUUUGCUGGAAAAUGGAGCAAAUGACUUGAUCUUUUGUUUUGUGUGUGGCAGAGUGCAGGUGUUUCUCCGGCUUCUCCCCUUGAUCAUAAUUGCAAGCUGGCAGCGUGAGACAGAGAGAAGGAGAAAGAAACACAAACGCAUUUAGUGAAGCUGGGAGCUCUCUUCAGUCCCACACAUGAAGAGAAGACUGAAAACUUCUUUAGUGGAAUGCAUAGAACGAGCCUUAAAUGCCUGCUGAAGACGGGUUCAUCCUGCAGAACGUGGAAUUGCUCAGGGCUUGAAGGCCUUGAAGACAGGAGAAGGGUGCAGACAGGAAAACGGUGGGAAUUGGUGAAAGUCUGUGUGAAAACUGCAGGGCCCCAGGCCUCCACCCGCACCGGGGGAGCCACACACCCGCCCUUUUGCCGUGGGCUCUUUUCCGAAAGGCCGGAGUUGUUUCCCAAGCCUGGCUUGGCCUCGAGACUCGCUUUAACCGAUAGAAUGUUGUAGAAAUGACGUGGCACCAACUCUGAGCCCAGGACACGAGGCCUCCUCUGGCCUCCACUCACUCUCUGGGAACCCCACUGGCCUCCAUGUGAACCAGCCCCUGGAUGAGGGGGACAGAGGGCCCUUCCUGCCCCGUCACAGAACAAAGCAUCCAGCCACCUGCAGCUGACCACAGGUCAUGAAUGAGCUGGACAAGCCGCCCAGAAGAGCCUGUCCUUCAUCGCUGACCCACAGGAUCUUAAGCUAAAUAAAUGGUUGUGUUUCUUUAAAACCACUAUGUUUUGGGGUGGGGUUUUUUUUCAUGCAAAAAAGUUGACAGAUUCACCUUCGUGGGAAACUAGAAGUUUAUUCUCUGGAGAAAUUGAACCAGAAAGCCUCUUGACUCAGGGUCGCCAGGUAAGGCAGUGGGUAGGGGCGAGGUUUGGACCUGAGAACGCGGAGACUGAUGAGGGGCGCAUGCCUCUACCUGGUUCUUGCCCAUGGCCCGGAUCCAGGGCCCCAGCGUCAGGGCAUUGUCUCCCAGGAAGGAGACCAGAGCAGCCUCUCUGCAGGAGCCCAGGGAGCCCAGAGGACCCUAAACAGAGACAUGAUGUGGGAGGACCGCGUCAACCUGCGCCCAGUGGGCUACUGUGUCACCAGACCCGAGGGGACCUUCCAGCGACAGCAAGAAAAGUCACAGAUGUUAGAAAGCCCAGCUUCCAGCCCGGUCACACCGCCCUCCACCACCUCCAUGCAGAAAUGUCAGGCAACCUUCAGGUGCGUUGCUCCCAAAUACUAAAGAACUUCCAAGUGCAGGAGAAGAAAAAUCCUUCCUUUACCCUCUUAGGCUCAGUAACUGAGGCUUUUAAGUCAAACUGAUAAAAGACAGAUUAAGAAGAGAAAAAAACAGAGUUUAUCUAGGCACGCAAUGUGCAGACACAUGGGAGAACCCAGUGAUGAGUGACUCAAAGGGGUGGUUAGAAUUUAGGGCUUUUAUACCAUCUUAACAAAGGGUGAUAAAUCAUGGAGAGGUGACAAGACAAAGGAGAAGGCGUG